rnacentral:rRNA from 1 species
UACGAAGGGGGCUAGCGUUGCUCGGAAUCACUGGGCGUAAAGCGCACGUAGGCGGAUUGCUAAGUCAGGGGUGAAAUCCUGGAGCUCAACUCCAGAACUGCCUUUGAUACUGGUGAUCUUGAGUCCGGGAGAGGUGAGUGGAACUGCGAGUGUAGAGGUGAAAUGCGUUGAUAUCCACAGGAACUCCGGUGGCGAAGGCGGCGUGCUGGACCCUCUCUGACGCUGAGGCGCGAAAGCCAGGGGAGCAAACGGG